CCGUCUUCUGCGUCGCUCACGCUGGGAGCUGUAGAUCGGAGCUGUUCCUAUUCGGCCAUCUUGGCUCCUCCGCUGGUCUUGUUUAUUUUUCAUCGCACAUCAGAAUAUGUUCCUCAGAAAUAUAAAUGUGAAUAGGAGUAUUUGCAAAGAGCAAGAUUCUCCUGAUGUCCUAUCUCCACAACCUGGGAACUGCCUAAAGACAAGGACAUCAUCAUAGAUUUCUUAUGGUACAAUCUGAACAUCCAUGAAUAUCAUAUGUGCACAC
rnacentral:lncRNA from 1 species